UACGGGGGGGGCAAGCGUUGUUCGGAAUUACUGGGCGUAAAGGGCGCGCAGGCGGUUAGGGAAGUCAAAGGUGAAAGCCCCCGGCUCAACCGGGGAAUUGCCUGUGAAACCACCUGACUGGAGUGCUGGAGAGGAAAGCGGAAUUCCCAGUGUAGCGGUGAAAUGCGUAGAUAUUGGGAGGAACAUCUGUGGCGAAGGCGGCUUUCUGGACAGACACUGACGCUGAGGCGCGAAAGCCAGGGGAGCAAAC
rnacentral:rRNA from 1 species